rnacentral:rRNA from 1 species
GAUGAACGCUAGCUACAGGCUUAACACAUGCAAGUCGAGGGACCGGCGCACGGGUGAGUAACACGUAUCCAACCUGCCCUUUACUCGGGGAUAGCCUUUCGAAAGAAAGAUUAAUACCCGAUAUAAAGGAUGGGGAUGCGUUCCAUUAGGUUGUUGGUGAGGUAACGGCCCACCAAGCCUUCGAUGGAUAGGGGUUCUGAGAGGAAGGGCCCCCAGAUUUGAACUGAGACACGGUCAAAACGCGUACGGGAGGCAGCGAUGAGGAAUAUUGGUCAAUGGGCGCUAGCCUGAACCAGCCAAGUAGCGUGAAGGAUGAAGGCUUAUGGAGCGUAAACUUCUUUUAAAUAAGAAUCUGUAUUAUAUGAAUAAGGAUCGGCUAACUCCGUGCCAGCAGCCGCGGUAAUAC